rnacentral:rRNA from 1 species
UACGUAGGGGGCAAGCGUUGUCCGGAUUUAUUGGGCGUAAAGGGCACGCAGGCGGUCGUUCAAGUUUCGAGUGACAGGUGGUGGCUUAACUGCCACAGGCCUCGGAAAACUGGACGACUUGAGACCUCCAGAGGGACGCGGAAUUCCAGGUGGAGCGGUGAAAUGCGUAGAGAUCUGGAAGAACACCAAAGGCGAAGGCAGCGUCCUGGGGAGGUUCUGACGCUCAUGUGCGAAAGCCAGGGGAGCGAACGGG